GACGAACGCUGGCGGCGUGCUUAACACAUGCAAGUCGUACGGUAAGGCCCUUUCGGGGGUCCACGAGUGGCGAACGGGUGAGUAACACGUGAGUAACCUGCCCACAACUUUGGGAUAACGCUAGGAAACUGGUGCUAAUACUGGAUAUGUUCUCCUGCUGCAUGGUGGGGGUUGGAAAGCUCCGGCGGUUGUGGAUGGACUCGCGGCCUAUCAGCUUGUUGGUGGGGUAGUGGCCUACCAAGGCGGCGACGGGUAGCCGGCCUGAGAGGGUGACCGGCCACAUUGGGACUGAGAUACGGCCCAGACUCCUACGGGAGGCAGCAGUGGGGAAUAUUGCACAAUGGGCGCAAGCCUGAUGCAGCAACGCCGCGGGCGGGAUGACGGCCUUCGGGUUGUAAACCGCUUUCAGCAGGGACGAAGCUUUUUGUGACGGUACCUGCAGAAGAAGCACCGGCUAACUACGUG
rnacentral:rRNA from 1 species